rnacentral:rRNA from 1 species
ACUCCUACGGGAGGCAGCAGUGGGGAAUAUUGCACAAUGGGGGAAACCCUGAUGCAGCCAUGCCGCGUGUGUGAAGAAGGCCUUCGGGUUGUAAAGCACUUUCAGUAGGGAGGAAGGUAGUGUAGUUAACACCUGCAUUAUUUGACGUUACCUACAGAAGAAGCACCGGCUAACUCCGUGCCAGCAGCCGCGGUAAUACGGAGGGUGCGAGCGUUAAUCGGAAUUACUGGGCGUAAAGCGCAUGCAGGCGGCCUGUUAAGUCAGAUGUGAAAGCCCGGGGCUUAACCUCGGAAUUGCAUUUGAAACUGGCAGGCUAGAGUCUUGUAGAGGGGGGUAGAAUUUCAGGUGUAGCGGUGAAAUGCGUAGAGAUCUGAAGGAAUACCGAGUGGCGAAGGCGGCCCCCUGGACAAAGACUGACGCUCAGAUGCGAAAGCGUGGGGAGCAAACAGGAUUAGAUACCCUGGUAG